rnacentral:rRNA from 1 species
UACGUAGGUGACAAGCGUUAUCCGGAAUUACUGGGCGUAAAGCGCACGCAGGCGGCUGCGUAAGUCUGACGUGAAAUCUCCCGGCUUAACCGGGAGCGGUCGUUGGAAACUAUGCGGCUUGAGGCGAUGAGAGGGGUGUGGAAUUCCCGGUGUAGUGGUGGAAUGCGUAGAUAUCGGGAGGAACAUCAGUGGCGAAAGCGGCACCCUGGCAUUAGCCUGACGCUCAGGUGCGAAAGCGUGGGGAGCGAACAGG